ensembl:lncRNA
CAGAGGUGCAAAUUUGAUUAGGAGGUUUAUAAAUUAGGGUUGACACAUUGUUGUAAGGUGUUAGGCUGAAUCUGAGUAUGGUAAAGUGCUUAACCGGGGUUAUUGUUGUGUACGAAAUGGUGUAGCUUUUGGCGAGGUUUUCGGUGCCUUAAAGGAGGGGUAGAUUGUUCAGGGGUGCAAAUUUGAUUAGGAGGUUUAUAAAUUAGUGUUGACACAUUGUGGUAAGGUGUUAGGCUGAAUCUGAGUAUGGUAAAGUGCUUAACCGGGGUUAUUGUUGUGUACGAAACGGUGUAGCUUUUGGCGAGGUUUUCGGUGUGUUGAAUGGGUGAAAUUUAAGAUGGUUUAAGAUUUUUGGGGCUGUUGUUUUCAUUUUAAUAGAGGGAGUUUUGAUAAACAUGGACAUGUCUAAAAGGGCCCAUAGUUUUUAUAACAGUGCACUUAGAAAAAACCUGUCAGGUGAUUUUGUUUUGUACUUUGAUGAGCUAACAAUCAGCUCUCUUUUUUCUCAUUUUGCUCUAAGCAGGCCUGGAAGAGAGUGAACUGACGGCGCGGACAAAUUACCAAGUAAGGAUUGCAGCGAGUCAAUCCAGUCAAAAGUAUAGAGAACUAUUUUCCUAAAAAGGAAAAACGAAAUAAAACAAAUGAUUGAGCUCAUUUUGCUGAUGUGGAGCAUCUGAUCACGUGCGCAGAAGGCUGCAGAUCAGCAAAAAUAUCAUGUGUGAAUGCAUGGGAGUGAAUGUGAGUGAUGGGACCAAGAGGGGAAAUAAAUAAAAGGUUGACAAACAGGACAAGUGGGAGACUUAAAUCUGGGGAUGCUGAUUUUGGGAUAUUGAUGUGUGCGUUGAGAAAAUUAUUUAUUGGGGUUGGAUUAUGUUAUUACAUUAUAGGAUGUUAAAUGCUAAAAGGGAAACAUUGAUGUAACUUAAGUUACCAUGAACGGAGGGGACACAUGAUUAAUAACUGUUCUGUGUAAGUUUAUUUUGUGUUAUAACACAGGUUGGAUCAUCAGUGGAGAAAGUGAGUAUAAAAGGUGAUGUUCUGGUUAACACACAGGCUUUUGUUUAUAGGACGUUUCAAGGAUGCAGGCUGUGGAUGGAGCCAAGAAAAGAUUUGACAUGAUGAUUAAUUUGAUUUCAUUCCUUAAAAACAGGUUUGAAGGUCCGGAGCAUGUAGACUUAAUAUGAUAUGACUAACCUUUUUAAUGCCCUAACCUGAGUGAAGGAUUUUGAGUUUGUAACACAUGAGAUGUGUCACAAAAAGGG